UACGAAGGGGGCUAGCGUUGCUCGGAAUCACUGGGCGUAAAGGGUGCGUAGGCGGGUUUUUAAGUCAGGGGUGAAAUCCUGGAGCUCAACUCCAGAACUGCCUUUGAUACUGAAGAUCUUGAGUCCGGGAGAGGUGAGUGGAACUGCGAGUGUAGAGGUGAAAUUCGUAGAUAUUCGCAAGAACACCAGUGGCGAAGGCGGCUCACUGGUCCAUAACUGACGCUGAGGCACGAAAGCGUGGGGAGCAAACAGG
rnacentral:rRNA from 1 species